UACGGGGGGAGCAAGCGUUGUUCGGAUUUACUGGGCGUAAAGGGCGCGUAGGCGGUCAGCACAAGUCAGUUGUGAAAUCUCCGGGCUUAACCCGGAAAGGUCAACCGAUACUGUGCGACUAGAGUGCGGAAGGGGCAACUGGAAUUCUCGGUGUAGCGGUGAAAUGCGUAGGUAUCGAGAGGAACACCUGCGGCGAAGGCGGGUUGCUGGGCCGACACUGACGCUGAUGCGCGAAAGCCAGGGGAGCGAACGGG
rnacentral:rRNA from 1 species